GAUAUCUGCACAUAAGUAGAUGUCAAAGCAAGGUCUUGCAGAUUACAACCACGUACAUCAAAAUGGGUACUGAUAGGAAACUUCUCUAACGUUUCGAACUUUUACGUGGGAGAGGCAGGCUCAGGGCUUAUGUGAACGAACAUCAAAGUUUUGGCUUGCCCUCCUACAAGAAAGUCAUGUACCAAAAACCAAUCAUUACUAGACAGGAAGAAAUGAGUCAUGAGAACAAUCGAGUUCCAUUAUCUACUUAUAUCCUACCAAGUGAGUCUUGUAGAAGCUGUGUAAGUUUGCUGUUACGGUAUGGGACAUGUGCAUUCUUUUGGGCAAGAGCAGAGAUAACAUCACCCAAAGCUGAAAGAGACUUGUUAAUGUGCUGAGCCUCUUUAAGUCUAUCUCCUGUUACUUCAGAUUUGUUCACUCUCUCACUUCCUGCAAGAUCAACCAAAUGCAUACAACCACGAAGAAUAGCUCCAGAAGCCACAUCUCUACCCUGAACAUGAACUGUUAGGCAACUGCACAUUCAAGACCAGAAAGAAUUAGCAUCUCCACUAUAAGUUUCUUACAAAGCACUAGAAAUCAAAUUAAGAGAAAGAAAAGAUUCUGCAUUCAGACCUGUGGGAGCGGCUACUGCGGUCGUUGAGCGCUGUUGCACCCACUGAACGAUUCUUUUGCCCUAAAUUCAUCAGAUCAAUAACAUCACAAGUUGAAGCUACACGAACCAAGCUUGCAUCUGGUACAGUUAGUCCUUGAGAAGCACUACGGAUUUCUAACGUAAUUCUGGGUUAAGGAAUGCAGGAGUAUUAAGGCUUUAAGCACGACAGGUUGAGAUCAACACAUUGUGUAAAAACACAUAGCUUAACGUCACUUAAAAAGUAAAUAAUAUAACAAUGUUUGUUGCCAAACAUUCAAUAUAUCCAGAAGAAGAUUAGUAAAGAUCAUUAAAAUGUAAAUGAUGAGAUAUUGAGAAGGAUAUCUUUUGUUUACACCAUCAGAAGCUAGGAGAUCCCUAACUUGCUCAUUGUAUAUCUCAAUCAUCUGUACAGACACAUCAUAGUGGAUGGUGUCCUUUCUUUGUUCUGCGAGAAGGAAUAGAUCACCUAAAGCCCUGUAGUUUACUCCUUGA